rnacentral:rRNA from 1 species
CCCUUAGAUGUUCUGGGCCGCACGCGCGCUACACUGAUGCCUUCAACGAGUCUAAAACCUGCUCUGAUAGGGGUGGGUAAUCUUUUGAAUGUGCAUCGUGAUUGGGAUAGAUGAUUGCAAUUUUUCAUCUUCAACGAGGAAUGCCUAGUAAACGCAAGUCAUCAGCUUGCAUUGAUUACGUCCCUGCCCUUUGUACACACCGCCCGUCGCUCCUACCGAUUGAAUGAUCCGAUGAAUAUCAUGGAUUGAGGAUGUAAGCAGGUUCGCCUGUCUUCAUCUUCGAGAAGUGAAGUAAAUCUUAUCAUUUAGAGGAAGGAGAAGUCGUAACA